rnacentral:rRNA from 1 species
GAUGAACGCUGGCGGCAGGCCUAACACAUGCAAGUCGAACGCCCUCUUCGGAGGGAGUGGCAGACGGGUGAGUAACGCGUGGGAACCUUCCCUAUGGUACGGAAUAACUCAGAGAAAUUUGAGCUAAUACCGUAUAAGCCCUUCGGGGGAAAGGAUUUAUCGCCAUAGGAUGGGCCCGCGUCGGAUUAGCUUGUUGGUGAGGUAAUGGCUCACCAAGGCAACGAUCCGUAGCUGGUCUUAGAGGAUGAUCAGCCACACUGGGACUGAGACACGGCCCAGACUCCUACGGGAGGCAGCAGUGGGGAAUAUUGGACAAUGGGCGCAAGCCUGAUCCAGCCAUGCCGCGUGAGUGACGAAGGCCUUAGGGUUGUAAAGCUCUUUUGGCGGGGACGAUAAUGACGGUACCCGCAGAAUAAGCCCCGGCUAACUUCGUG